UCAAGCGAACAAGAGCACAGGGCGGAUGCCCAGGCACCAAGCGCCGAAGAAGGACGUGGCAAGCUGCGAAAAGCUACGGGGAGCCGCAAGCAGGCAGAGAACCGUAGAUAUCCGAAUGGGGAAACCCGGCGGACCGAAGGUCCGCCACUGCCAGAUGAACACAUAGUCUGGACAGAGGAAACCCGGGGAACUGAAACAUCUAAGUACCCGGAGGAAGAGAAAGAAAGAUCGAUUUCCCAAGUAGCGGCGAGCGAACGGGAAAGAGCCCAAACCAGGGAGCAUGCUUUCUGGGGUUGCGGGCCGGCGAGAGACGGCGGGGAAUCUAGGCGAAUAGAGCAGGGAAGCUCAGCCAGAGGGGGUAACAGCCCCGUAGCCGAAAGAGGAACCAAAGGAGCCGGACCCAGAGUACCGCAGGGCACGAGAAACCCGGCGGGAAGCAGGGGGGACCACCCCCCAAGGCUAAAUACGACUUGGUGACCGAUAGCGCAUAGUACCGUGAGGGAAAGGUGAAAAGAACCCCGGGAGGGGAGUGAAAGAGAACCUGAAACCCUAUGUUUACAAGCAGAGGGAGCGCGAUCUAGGCGCGACCUUGUACUUUUUGUAGAACGGACCGGCGAGUUGUGAUUUCCAGCGAGGUUAAGGGUUUAAAGGCCCGGAGCCGAAGCGAAAGCGAGUCUGAAGAGGGCGAGAUAGUUGGAGGUUGCAGACCCGAAACCGGGUGAUCUAUCCAUGGCCAGGUUGAAGUGGGAGUAAAAUCUCAUGGAGGACCGAACCAAACGUCUGUUGAAAAAGGCGGGGAUGAGCUGUGGAUAGGGGAGAAAUUCCAAUCGAACCCGGAGAUAGCUGGUUCUCCUCGAAAUAGCUUUAGGGCUAGCCUCGUAUUAGAUUACCGGAGGUAGAGCACUGAAUGUGGGCGGGAGCCACAAAGCUUACCAAACACUAUCAAACUUCGAAUGCCGGCUAAUUGAUGUACGGGAGUCAGUCCGUGAGAGAUAAGUUUCACGGGCAAAAGGGAAACACCCCAGAUCGUCCGCUAAGGUCCCCAAGUGCAUGUUAAGUGGAGAAGGAUGUGGAAUUGCACAGACAACCAGGAUGUUGGCUUAGAAGCAGCCAUACAUUUAAAGAGUGCGUAAUAGCUCACUGGUCGAGUGAUGAUGCGCCGAAGAUGUCCGGGGCUAAAACACGCCACCGAAGCUUCGGGUUUCCAGGUAUUUACACUGCAGUUGGAAACGUGAACGCGGAAAAGGAAGGAUAGAUUUGCGGAUUUCGACCGUGACGAGGAGCGAAGCGAGCGUCAAGAUCGAAGAAAUCCGCCAGAUGUGCCUUUAAGGCGAAAACACACGGAAUUCGAAAGCGGUGUAAAUACCUGGGAGCGGUAGAGGAGCAUAGUGUGCUGACAGAAGCGGUAUCGAAAGGCGCCGUGGACGGCACAGUAGAGAGAAUGCCGGUAUGAGUAACGAGAUGCAGGCGAGAAACCUGCACGUCGAAAGCCCAAGGUUUCCUGGGGAAGGUUCAUCCGCCCAGGGUAAGUCGGGGCCUAAGCCGAGGACGGUAGUCGUAGGCGAUGGACAACUGGUGGAGAUUCCAGUACCACCUAUAUGAGUGACGCAUUGACACAGAAGGAUAGCAUGAGCCGGUUGAUGGUAGAGCCGGUCCAAGCGGUUAGGCGGGGAGAUAGUGAAGUACGUCUCCCGAGGUAGCUAAGCCGUGAUGGGGAGCGAAAAACAAGUAGCGAAGCAUGUGAAUCCAGGCUGGCGAGAAAAGGUGCUAACAAUUGUAUGGGUGCCCGUACCGCAAACCGACGCAGGUGGGCGAGGAGAGAAUCCUAAGACGAACGGGAGAACCCUUGUUAAGGAACUCGGCAAAAUGACCCCGUAACUUCGGGAGAAGGGGUGCCUCGAAAGAGGCCGCAGAGAAAAGGCCCAAGCGACUGUUUAGCAAAAACACAGGUUUGUGCGAAAGCGAGAGCUGACGUAUACGAGCUGACGCCUGCCCGGUGCUGGAAGGUUAAGAGGAGCCGUCAGGGGAAACCCGAAGCGGUGAAUUGAAGCCCCAGUAAACGGCGGCCGUAACUAUAACGGUCCUAAGGUAGCGAAAUUCCUUGUCGGGUAAGUUCC
rnacentral:rRNA from 1 species